UGUUAAAAAUUUCAUCUAUUUUUACUGUAAAAACUGGCAUGACUAACGGAAUAACCAAACAGUUAUAUGUGGCGUGUCAUGUGUACCUCAUUCUAAUGUAUAGAAACUGAAUUUUAAUAGUAAAAAUUGAUGACAUAUUUAACA
rfam:Gossypium raimondii Chr11_contig_603, whole genome shotgun sequence.